GAUGAACGCUGGCGGCGUGCCUAAUACAUGCAAGUCGAGCGAACGGACGAGAAGCUUGCUUCUCUGAUGUUAGCGGCGGACGGGUGAGUAACACGUGGAUAACCUACCUAUAAGACUGGGAUAACUUCGGGAAACCGGAGCUAAUACCGGAUAAUAUUUUGAACCGCAUGGUUCAAAAGUGAAAGACGGUCUUGCUGUCACUUAUAGAUGGAUCCGCGCCGCAUUAGCGAGUUGGUAAGGUAACGGCUUACCAAGGCAACGAGGCAUAGCCGACCUGAGAGGGUGGUCGGCGGCGCGGGAGGGGAGAGAGGGUCCGGAGGGCUACGGGAGGCAGCAGUGGGGAAUGUGGCGGAAUGGGGGAAAGCGGGACGGAGCAGGGGGGCGUGAGGGAUGAAGGUCGUGGGAUGGUGAGGCUCUGUUAUUAGGGAAGAAGAGAUGUGUAAGUAGCUGUGGACGGGGUGACGGUACGUAGUGAGAAAGCCACGGCUAACUACGUG
rnacentral:rRNA from 1 species